rnacentral:rRNA from 1 species
UACGUAGGUGGCGAGCGUUGUCCGGAUUUACUGGGCGUAAAGAGCGCGCAGGCGGUCGUCCAAGUCGCGUGUGAAAGCCCCCGGCUCAACUGGGGAGGGUCACGCGAUACUGAUCGACUCGAAGGCAGGAGAGGGAAGCGGAAUUCCCGGUGUAGUGGUGAAAUGCGUAGAUAUCGGGAGGAACACCAGUGGCGAAGGCGGCUUCCUGGCCUGUUCUUGACGCUGAGGCGCGAAAGCGUGGGGAGCGAUCCGG